GAUGAACGCUAGCGGCAGGCUUAAUACAUGCAAGUCGAGGGGUAGCAAGAUUGUAGCAAUACAAUUGUUGACGACCGGCAAACGGGUGCGGAACACGUACACAACCUUCCUACAAGUGGGGAAUAGCCCAGAGAAAUUUGGAUUAAUACCCCGUAACAUAGCGAUGUGGCAUCACAUUGCUAUUAUAGCUUCGGCGCUUGUUGAUGGGUGUGCGGCUGAUUAGAUAGUUGGCGGGGUAACGGCCCACCAAGUCUACGAUCAGUAGCGGAUGUGAGAGCAUGAUCAGCCACACGGGCACUGAGACACGGGCCCGACUCCUACGGGAGGCAGCAGUAAGGAAUAUUGCACAAUGGGGGAAACCCUGAUGCAGCCAUGCCGCGUGUGUGAAGAAGGCCUUCGGGUUGUAAAGCACUUUCAGCGAGGAGGAAAGGUUGGUAGCUAAUAACUGCCAGCUGUGACGUUACUCGCAGAAGAAGCACCGGCUAACUCCGUGCCAGCCGCCGCGGUAAUAC
rnacentral:rRNA from 1 species